UAGGGAAUAUUGGGCAAUGGGGGCAACCCUGACCCAGCCAUGCCGCGUGGGCGAAGAAGGCUUUCGGGUCGUAAAGCCCUUUUGUGCGGGAAGAAAGCAGUGGGUGCGCCCGCUGUUGCCGGUACCGCACGAAUAAGCACCGGCUAACUCCGUGCCAGCAGCCGCGGUAAUACGGAGGGUGCAAGCGUUGUCCGGAUUUAUUGGGUUUAAAGGGUACGUAGGCGGCCCUGUAAGUCAGUGGUGAAAACCGGUGGCUCAACCAUCGGCGUGCCAUUGAUACUGUGGGGCUUGAGUGCUGCAGGGGUGGGCGGAAUCCCGCAUGUAGCGGUGAAAUGCAUAGAUAUGCGGGGGAACCCCAAAAGCGAAGGCAGCCCACUGGGCAGCAACUGACGCUGAGGUACGAAAGCGUGGGGAGCGAACAGGAUUAGAUACCCCCGUAGUCC
rnacentral:rRNA from 1 species